CCAGGCGGGGUCAGCCAUGGCAAGACCGGAGCGGUUUUCAAUGAGAUCUCAGGGGGGCUCGGAACAUAAACUGUGAUUUCUGAACUAAAGUAGCAGGAAUACAUGUUUGUACUACUGACACCAGGGCCGGCCCAAGACACUGUGCUGCCUGGGUACAAGGAUGAAAUCAGAGGCCGGCUGGGACGGGGGCAGGGAGGCAAUUGCCCCCCAGCUUGCUCUAAC